GGUCCCAAAGUCAUGGUUAAGUGGGAAACGAUGUGGGAAGGCCCAGACAGCCAGGAUGUUGGCUUAGAAGCAGCCAUCAUUUAAAGAAAGCGUAAUAGCUCACUGGUCGAGUCGGCCUGCGCGGAAGAUGUAACGGGGCUAAACCAUGCACCGAAGCUGCGGCAGCGACACUAUGUGUUGUUGGGUAGGGGAGCGUUCUGUAAGCCUGUGAAGGUGUACUGUGAGGUAUGCUGGAGGUAUCAGAAGUGCGAAUGCUGACAUAAGUAACGAUAAAGCGGGUGAAAAGCCCGCUCGCCGGAAGACCAAGGGUUCCUGUCCAACGUUAAUCGGGGCAGGGUGAGUCGACCCCUAAGGCGAGGCCGAAAGGCGUAGUCGAUGGGAAACAGGUUAAUAUUCCUGUACUUGGUGUUACUGCGAAGGGGGGACGGAGAAGGCUAUGUUGGCCGGGCGACGGUUGUCCCGGUUUAAGCGUGUAGGCUGAUUUUCCAGGCAAAUCCGGAAAAUCAAGGCUGAGGCGUGAUGACGAGGCACUACGGUGCUGAAGCAACAAAUGCCCUGCUUCCAGGAAAAGCCUCUAAGCAUCAGGUAACAUCAAAUCGUACCCCAAACCGACACAGGUGGUCAGGUAGAGAAUACCAAGGCGCUUGAGAGAACUCGGGUGAAGGAACUAGGCAAAAUGGUGCCGUAACUUCGGGAGAAGGCACGCUGAUAUGUAGGUGAAGCGACUUGCUCGUGGAGCUGAAAUCAGUCGAAGAUACCAGCUGGCUGCAACUGUUUAUUAAAAACACAGCACUGUGCAAACACGAAAGUGGACGUAUACGGUGUGACGCCUGCCCGGUGCCGGAAGGUUAAUUGAUGGGGUUAGCGGUAACGCGAAGCUCUUGAUCGAAGCCCCGGUAAACGGCGGCCGUAACUAUAACGGUCCUAAGGUAGCGAAAUUCCUUGUCGGGUAAGUUCCGACCUGCACGAAUGGCGUAAUGAUGGCCAGGCUGUCUCCACCCGAGACUCAGUGAAAUUGAACUCGCUGUGAAGAUGCAGUGUACCCGCGGCAAGACGGAAAGACCCCGUGAACCUUUACUAUAGCUUGACACUGAACAUUGAGCCUUGAUGUGUAGGAUAGGUGGGAGGCUUUGAAGUGUGGACGCCAGUCUGCAUGGAGCCGACCUUGAAAUACCACCCUUUAAUGUUUGAUGUUCUAACGUUGGCCCGUUAUCCGGGUUGCGGACAGUGUCUGGUGGGUAGUUUGACUGGGGCGGUCUCCUCCUAAAGAGUAACGGAGGAGCACGAAGGUUGGCUAAUCCUGGUCGGACAUCAGGAGGUUAGUGCAAUGGCAUAAGCCAGCUUGACUGCGAGCGUGACGGCGCGAGCAGGUGCGAAAGCAGGUCAUAGUGAUCCGGUGGUUCUGAAUGGAAGGGCCAUCGCUCAACGGAUAAAAGGUACUCCGGGGAUAACAGGCUGAUACCGCCCAAGAGUUCAUAUCGACGGCGGUGUUUGGCACCUCGAUGUCGGCUCAUCACAUCCUGGGGCUGAAGUAGGUCCCAAGGGUAUGGCUGUUCGCCAUUUAAAGUGGUACGCGAGCUGGGUUUAGAACGUCGUGAG
rnacentral:rRNA from 1 species